rnacentral:lncRNA from 1 species
AUGUCGCUGAAGUUGCUUUGGAAGAUCUUUCUGCUGGGUCUGCUGCUCCCGAGCCUGGCAGCAGCCUCACCGCAGCCCUGCUCUGCCCCACCUGCCCAGCAGCUGGCACACCACACCUGCUGGCACCCAGGGGCUGACUCACUGAACCGUACAGUGGCAUGCAGCACUUUUUUUUUACCAGGCUCUGCAUUGAGUGUUCUGCCUGCAAACAUCACAGCUGCCCUGGGGCAUUUAACCCAGGCUGUGUGGCUUUUGCAUCUUGCCCCUCCAUGGGUGGGACCCUGCCUGCAUGCAUCGCUGCAGAGAGACGGCGCUCAGCAAGCACCAGUGCUGGUCAGUAACGCUCAGCAAGCAGCCAGCGUUACACCCAGACAGACUGCAGAGAGCUGGCCUUCACGUCCAGCUUUCCCUGUGCCAACAGGCCAUGUGCUCAGAGCCUGCACGGCUCCUGCCAGCGCUGGGGUGCCCGCGGGUGCUCCCCAGGUCACCAUCCGCAGGGUGCAGCCUGACCCCAUGUGGCAGCACAGGUCCCGGGGACAGGGUGCUGGGACCAGCCCCUGUUUGGCUAAGGUGUUAUCCCGGAUACCCCAGCGGCUACGCCUCCCUUCCCGGCAGGUGCCUGAUUCAUCGGAGGCGGGCGGGUGCUCCUGGAAGGCAGGCAGGUGUUCUGCUCUGCAGCUCGCCAGGGCUCGUCUUUCAAGCCUGGUUUUGAGCCACGUCGGCUCUCUUUCUGUAUGCAGCCAGGCUCCCAUAGCUGACAUCUUCUGCACGCUGGAAAGGUGCUGCAGCUCCUUCCCUGCCCUGCUCCUGCCUCUCCAGGACUUCACCUCGGCUCACAAAGCGAGUAAUGACAGCGGCACAGGAACACCUUUGUAUUGUCCUGUGUGUCACAGCACGAAGCCCGUGCCACUGCUCCCAUGCAGGGGGCAGGAGGAUUCACCUGAAUUUGCACCUGUUCUAGACCUUGUCUGCAGCGAUUCAGGUGCACCUGCCCUAGAAAGCAGCCCCAUGAAUGUCUGCCCCUUCUGUUGGCAAGGUACUGCCCACAUCUUGCCUUGCUUUUGCAUGUGGACUACGGCAGGGCAUUGGUUUGUUUUUCAAAGUGCAAUACUGACAUUUGCAGACUCAGCCGCACAUUGCAGGGGUGGCUGUGAAGCAAUUGCUUACCAAACCACAGUUCUGCCCACAGGCCCCGAGCUCACACAGCGCACACCCACGUGGCGCUGGGCAGCACAAAAGUCUCCAUGCAGCAGCCAGCGAUGCUGGUGGGAAAAAGGAGCAAUCCCGAGGACAUCCCAGCGCUGCCACAGCUGCAGGCAGCCACCUGCCGUGUCCUUGUCUCAGCAUUCAUCAGGUGGCUUUGCCCAGGAGCCCCCUCUGUGCCCUUUAGGUGGGUGA